rnacentral:lncRNA from 1 species
UGAUCGUGCAGCGCUGCCUUGCCGGCCGCUCCCUCACCCACGUCCGCGCCGGCUGCGUCCUCUGCGGCUACCUCAAGGUGCUGCCCAUGUUCCUGAUGGUGCUGCCCGGCAUGGCCGCCCGCGUCCUCUUCCCGGGUCAGCUCCCCACUGCUUUAUACUGGUUUAUACUGGUUUAUACUGGUUUAGAAUGAUUUCUAUUCGUUUAAGGCACUUAUCCAAUAUGGCGCCCAAAAUGGCUGCCUCCAUUGGGGUUUUUAAGAUGGCUGCCCAAGAUGGCUCCCCACUAUGGCCACCCAUUGGUGCACACUGGUUUUACUGGUUUAUACUGGUUUAUACUGGUUUAGAAUGCUUUAUCAUCAUUUAAGGCACUAAUCCAAUAUGGCGCCCAAAAUGGCUGCCACCAUUGGAGUUUACAAAAUGGCUGCCCAAAAUGGCUGUCAUAGCAUGAAUCUAAGAUGGCU